GCUUGAGUAUUAUUUUUGCUAGUGGUGCCAUGUAGUGUUUGAGCUGAACUGAAAUGCCGAAGUGGUAGAGGUGUAGUGGGAAGUGUGGAGAGAAAAUUAAGGGAUUUGGAUAGGAGUGGUUAGACGGUUUUAGGAGAGAUUUGAGGGAUUUUGGGAAAAUGUGGUGCAGAAAUCUUCAUUUUUGUUAUUUUGGUUUGUUUUUAUUUUCUUUUUUCUUUCAAAUUCCCAAGGUUCUCUUUUCUUCUGCUGUUCUCCUUCUCCAGCUUUGCCGAACCUCUGCCAAAAUUUUCUUUUUCUUUUUCUUUUCCAUUCUUGUCGAUUUUUGGCCAUUGGUUUAUUCCCUUUCUUGUUUCUGUUGCCAAUAGUUGCCUCUUUUC
rnacentral:lncRNA from 1 species